rnacentral:lncRNA from 1 species
UUUUUUUUUUUUUCUUUUCUAUCUGGGUUGGUAGGUUACUGAGGUGUGUAGGUUAGGGGGAUUGCUUGUAAUAAUCUAACUUUUUCAGUAUCUGUACAGAACCUCUACAACAUGGGACUAAGAUUAUUACAUGGAAUCGGUCAACAUCUUCCAGGUCAUCUUCAUCAAAGAAUCCUCUUACAACUGCCGCAACCAAAGAAGAUAAUGAUGAUAGUGGAAGUGAUUUUGUUGAAGAGUUCUGCAUGAUUGCUGGAAGCCAUUCCUCUACUUUGGAAAGACUCUACGCAUGGGAGAGAAAACUCUAUGAUGAAGUGAAGGUACUUGUUUGAAGUCACUUUAUUAACACAACAAGCAUUUUCUCGGUUUCUUGAUUCUCUUGGGUUUCAUGUUGUAUGUAGUGUAGAUGAACUUUCUUUCACAAUUGACUGAUUAUUACUAUUUCAUGAUCUGGAACACAAAUGUUUGUAUUUUAGAUCACAAUUUGGGACAUUGUUACCCAUAAAAUGAAGCUUUUUAUUUCCAAUUGACUAUCUAGGGGUUUCUUGUUGCAUGAUUGUGAAAGGGUUUUAGUUUACCACAUGGGUUCAUGAUUCAGAGCAUCAAUGUUUAGGUAUCUGAAAUUCUUCCUAGAAACUUUUUAGUGUAGCAAAGAAUUGUUCUUCCUUGGCUAACAUUGUUGGUCUUUUGACACAGAAUAGAAAAAGGAGCAUGAAUUAUUCAAGAAAAUCCAGUGGAUGGAUAGAACCCAAACUGAAUUUAACCCAUCUGUUUACAGAAGUCAAUAUCUGGGUCUAAAUUUAGUGUCUAACCAGUUUUGAGUUUUGUUGGAGCCCAUGAUAUUCAUUGUGGGUCUAAAUUCUACAGCUUAAGAUUUUAGGGAAAUUGGUUAUCUAACAAGUUUUACACUACUCUAGGGCAAGUAACAUUAGUUGAAAAAACAAGUAAUUUCUGGUGAUUUUUGGAAACGCCAUUUGGUUGAUUUUCUCUUGAAUGGACAGCAAGAGCUAUGUGGAUCUAGCCCUAGCCACUUUAGACCAUCCCAUUAGCCCAUAAUCAAAUGAGCUUUUUCCAUGUAGGUUCACCCAUAACUAAAAGAUCUUGUUAUGGUAAUUAGCCAUCUAAUUGAUCUUGUAUGAUAAUUAACCAUCUUAGAGAACUGAUGAAUUCUCUCUAGCCAUUUACAGCAUAAUCCUUAUAUAAUUUAAUCCUGCUAUUCCAACAACUAAUCCAUUAUUGUUCAUUUCAAAGGAGUUCUGAUAAGUAAUUUGAAGACCAAAACCCCAUGGUCUAAAAGCAAAAAUUUUCCCUCCUAUACAUCAACCUUUCAGUGAAGAGAUGUAUGGAGAUUAAUGUAAAAACUCUACAGAAACCCGGUAUUGUUCCUCUUCCGACAUACACAUUAAAUGCUGAUAUUACUAGUCACUAAUGGUGCUCCAUUUGGGGAUGAGAUUGUUUCAAGUGCCAAUAGAUUCAUACUAUUUUCACCUCAACUUGGGUGCCAAAUUGUGCACAUAAGGUGAAAUAGCUCUCUUUCAAUUUGUAUGUUGACAUUCCUAAAGAUUGAUCAGGCCUAUUUGUCCCUUUUGGUUUUCCUAACUCUUCCUUUGCUGCUGAUUGUGUAUUCUACCUUGUCAUUUGAUUUGUGUCUCUGUUGUUAUUGAUAUAUAAUCCCUUUUUAAAGUUGUCCCAUGUAUGUUGUUACAUCUCUGUCAUUUUCUGACCUGCCCUGCUACCUUUUUGGUUUUCUGUAGGCAAGUGAAUCUAUCAGGAAGGAGUAUGAUCGGAAGUGUGAUAAGUUGAGGCAUCAAGUAGCAAAAGAUCUUAGCUCCCAAGUAAUUGACAAAACCAGGGCAGUAGUUAAGGAUCUACAUUCACGACUAAGGGUGGCAAUUCAUGCUGUUGAUUCCAUAUCAAAGCGGAUUGAGAAAAUGAGGGAUGAAGAGUUGCAGCCACAACUUGCAGAACUGAUUCAGGGGUAAGAUUUUCUAGUUUUUAUUUAUCUUGAAAAUGAUAUACCGUCAAGCCUUACUCUCAUUCGUAGAUAGUAACUUCAAUUUUUCCAUGCCCUUUAAACCCAUGUCAACUAAAUUGAUAUGGUAUGUAUUAAGUCAUUACAUAUCAACCAUGGCCCUUGUGCAGAUUGAUCAGGAUGUGGAAAGCCAUGCUUGAGUGCCAUCACGCACAGUACAUCACCAUCUCAUUGGCAUACCAUGCAAGAAGCUCAACAGGAACUCCACGAGGAGAUCCCCAUAGGCAAAUUAUGGCUCAGCUACAGUCCGAGAUUGAAUACUUUGGCUUAAGUUUUGCAGAUUGGAUCAACAGCCACACAUCAUAUGUUGAAGCUCUGAAUGGUUGGCUGCAAAACUGCAUCUUGCUGCCACAAGAGCGUACCAAGAGCAGAAGGCCAUUCUCUCCUCGUCGAGUUCUUGCCCCACCUAUAUUUGUUCUGUGUCGUGAUUGGUUAGCUGGGGCCAAAGGUUUGCCAGCAGAUGAACUCAGUGAUGCCAUCAAACAAUUUAUAUCUGAUCUGCAUCAAUUGCUGAGGCAAACAGAGGAACAACAGAAGAAAGAGAAGCCAUUUGAUUCAAAUACCAAUGGAGAAUCGGAGAGCAAAGAUGAUGAGAAGACUGAGGACAAGUCUUUAAACUUGGGCUGCAUACAUACAAGUCUGGCCAAGGUGCUUGAGCGAUUGACAAAAUUUUCUGAGGCCUCACUGAAAAUGUAUGAAGAUGUUCGACAAAAAAGCGAAGCAGCUCGAAUUGCAUAUUCCACUGGCAGGCCUUCCAGACCUGAAGGCUAUGUAAUUAAAGUAUAAGCAUCUCUAAGCUUGCCAUUGGAAAUAGAUAUUUGUAAAAAUCAAAGUUUGUUGCAAAAAAACCUUUCUGAGUAGAAAUAGAAUAAAUUUUGGGAUUGGUGCUAAAUUGGUUCUUGACUUAAAGCUAAAGGUGACUCCGAGGUCAGCCAUUUAUGACAUUGUCUUUUUGAUGAAAGACCGGAUUUCCUUUUUCUUCUUUUUUGAAAAUUUUUUUAUUGGUUACACUAGACCGGAUGAGUGGUUACACAAGAAUUCUUGUUACCACCAAUUUCCAGCAUCAGAUGUAAGGAGGGAGCCUCUCAAUCGGUUGGGAUAUGGGAGGUUUGGAUUCUUACCAAAUCACCCANUAUUGAGUAAAAAAAAUCACUGACUACCAGUGGAAAGAUACUGCAGGGUGUAAAAAGAAAUGUUUGACAGAAUAUUUUCUUGUGGUGCAUCUGCGCAGGUCAUGGCACGAAAAAGAAAGAAAAAAACAAACAAACAAAAAAUACGUAUGUAUGAACAAGGAAAUGUGUAAUCAAUUGCAAGUUCCCAAUCAAACAACAAAUCCCAUACAUGUUACAAACAAUCAUGAAUGGGUGGCCCUUUUAAAUUUGCUUUAUUCUCCUUCUUGUUACUAUCUUCCCUUGACCUCCAAAUCCUAAUUGCUAGCAUUAACUGGGAAAACAGGAAAAAUGAAUAACAACUUCUCACCAUCUCCCUGAUCCACUAUUCAGGCAUCUGC